rnacentral:rRNA from 1 species
UACAGAGGGUGCAAGCGUUAAUCGGAAUUACUGGGCGUAAAGCGCGCGUAGGUGGCUCGUUAAGUUGGAUGUGAAAUCCCCGGGCUCAACCUGGGAACUGCAUCCAAAACUGGCGAGCUAGAGUAUGGUAGAGGGUGGUGGAAUUUCCUGUGUAGCGGUGAAAUGCGUAGAUAUACGAAGGAACGCCAAAAGCGAAGGCAGCUCUCUGGGUCCCUACCGACGCUGGGGUGCGAAAGCAUGGGGAGCGAACAGG